rnacentral:lncRNA from 11 species
AACUGAGAUAAUACUGAAUAUAUUCUACAUUUCUGAAAAUAGAUUAUCUGCGUAUACAACAGUAUUUCUCAACAAGGAGUUCUUCCUAAUUUUACACGUCUGACACAUUCAAUAAGAUGUAUAGUUACUACCGGCGUAUGAGGCUAUUCAGAAGUUAAGGUCCUCGGCGAGAUCGGAUACUUGAUGCGCCGACAGGUAUGUUUGUGAAUCCGUGAAAGCAACGGACCGUUAGCCAAGAAAGGAUUUAAGACUUUCAUUGAUCCAAUGACUACUGCACAAUGACUCGCUGUUGCUUCAACAGCUGGUUCUAAGAAGAAGUGCAGGGAGCAUUUAUACAAGUAUUAAUUAAGAAAACAGUACUUUUUAGUAACAUUUAUAUUUAAUAGCUAUAAUGAAAUUAAAGGAAAUUAUUGCAUAAAUAAAUAAAAUUGUAAGAAAUUAUGUCCAAUAAAAUUAUUAAGAAUUA